UUUUUCCAGAAUAAUUGGCUAUGCGUUUUAAUUUUUAACUCUAUUUGUUGUGAUAUUUUUUUAUUUUUUUUGUUUCUUAAUUUAUUUUUUGUAAAAUAUUUUAGAUUGUUUAUUUUUUUAAAAAAUGUCUAAAAUUUGUUUAUUGAACUGGAUUAGUACCCAGGUAAUCAAGAUUUAUUAAUUCGGGAGUAAAGUGUUGUUUAAACCGAAAAAGUAUUGACUGACUUUAGAUUUUUCUUUGGAAUAUGUGUUUUUGGAUAGUCCUCCUUGUUAGCUAAUUUUUUUUUGCAUAUGUAUGAUUGUUUAGUUUUUAUUUUAUUUGUGAUGCUAUUAUUAUUUUUAUUUUAUAAAACAGAUAUAUAUUUGGUUUAUGAAUUGGUUUUCAUGUGUUACUAUUAUUAAUUUUUUUUUGGAUUUUUUUUUAAUUUUUUUUUGAAAUGGAAAAGAAAGUAAUUAGAUUUUUAUGUUUUGGUGAAUUUAAUAAAUAAAGUGGUACAAACUC
rnacentral:rRNA from 1 species